CACCAAGAAAAUUGAUGCGAUGGCCUGUCUUAAGUUGGCUUCCUCUAUUGGUCUUUUAUCUGACAAGACACCUUUGGCAAAGUCUCAUCAAUAUGCUACUUUUCAUCUGCCUGACACUGAAAUCAAUGGACUGCAGAAGAAGCCUCUCGAUCAGCAUUGUCAGAAAUGAUCACCAUGCUGGACGGAGCAUGCUACCUGAUUUCUCCUGACUGAACUCCCACAAAAGCAUGGCUGCAAAUCCCAGAGAAAGAAGAAAGAGAACUUACAUAAAGGAGGCUUUCUGGAGAACUCGCUGUAAGAGGGUCAAUGCGGAAAUAUGGAAUGUGCUUAGGAGUCCACUGAAGCAGUCCAGCUUCCAGAUUUGGAAAUCACUGCUCCAGGAUGUUGCAAAAUCAAGAGAGAUGUUAAAUGAUUUGAAUGAAAACAUAUUUCAACAUCUGGGCAGUUCUCUGUAGCCACAAAGACUAGAAGAGCCGAGGCCACACCAUCUCCAAAUGCACCAGGUACAAAUGUCUGUUAUCCAAAAAUGCACAGAAAUAGAAUACUGUGUAGUACACUUUUUAGGUAAAUGAAUUGAAAAAUCAUAAUUUAAUAUGCUGUACCUUGUUCCCAUUGUACAGAGUGAUGUAUUUAAAUUACUAGCUUUUGCAUUUUUACUUUUUAAAAUUGGUUGUUGGAAAAUUAAAUCUGUCUUGCUUAUUGGGAGUCAAAGCUGCAACAUAAAAGAACAAUGUUGCCAUCUAGUGGUCAAUUGAAGACAUUAAUGAAUCAGACCAUUGCGAGAAGUUUCAAGUUGAAGGAAAAGACAGCUCAGGAAAUAAUGUAAAUAUA